rnacentral:lncRNA from 1 species
AGCUUCAUGCUUCGGGUCGGGGAAGGAAAGACAGAGAAUUUGGAUUUUUCUUCUUCGUAGAGUUUUGGGAAGGCUGAGGCAAUCGCUGUUGAAGUCAGUAUUGUAAUGGUGAAUCGAGAUUUUUAAUGAAGUGGGUUUGAAUACUCUUGACUGUUUUGUAAAAUCGAGUUACGUCUGUGAUUGAAGGAUUAAAAGGGCGUCUAUAGGAUUGAGUAUGCGAAGUGAAUGAAAUUUAUUGGGUUAAUCUAACAAGACAGUCAGUGGAUA